AUGAAGGAGAAGGAAAGGGGAGGAGAUGAACUAUGGCUGCGUCACCCAGACAACCUGUUAGUAGGGCAACCAACCAACAGCCUUCACCCCGGAAACAAGACAGAACCCCCAGGUGGGGAAGAGGGGGAGGAGAGAAGAGAGAAGAGAGGAGGGGAGGAGAGAGACAGGUUCUCUGCUAGCCAUGACCCAGGCUGUCCUACCCACAAUGCCAGACUGAGAGAAACAGACCAGAGCCAUGUACACAGGACAGCAGAUAAGAGGGAGGAGGGGGAAGAGAGGGAGGAGAGGAACAGGGGUACAGAGCACAGACACGAGGUGAAUCAGACUCCUAUGUCUGACUCCUAUCUCCAUGUGGUUGCCAGAGACGGAUCCACCAGUCUGAGAUGGCCAGCAGAACUGCUGCAGUUUACCACUGCCAAACCCCACCUCUCCUACAGCUGUAAGCCCACACACUGGCAACGCCACACCAACCCACUACACUGUAACCCUGAACACAACCACAACCACUGUCAAACCAAGUCACGCUGUAACCACUCAGCAAGCCAGCGGGAGACAGAGAAACACACAGAGGAGUCCGACUCCCUCAUGUUCUCUAGCUCCCAGCCUCCUCCUCAGGACACAGAAAAUGUAGAAUCCAAUACAGAUCUAUAUACAGAGACAGGCGGGACAGAUGAGGGAGCCAAACACUCAUCAUCCUGUCACGUUGUGGAGAAGACAGAAGCACAUGGAGUGACAGCAGCCUUCCAGGCAGAAGCUACAGUGCCAGGGAGUGGAGGUGAAUCUGGGUUCAGAUGGCACCACCCCCUCUUCGGGAAUGGUGACCCCCUUCGCGGUGACAACACGCACACAAACCCCCACAAUCCCCAAAGAGGCAGAUUAGGAGGACAUGUGAGACAGGAGAGAGAUCGAGCCGUCAGAACCCCCAGGCCUAAAUUAGAGGCUGUCAUCCAGCCUUGCGCUGCCGUUUGUGUGUGUGCAAGCGAGGUUAGAUGUGUGUGUACACACACUGCCAGCUCACGCACACACUCCGUGGGCGGUUCAGUAAGCACUUCGACAGAUGUGUCAUGCCGAAAUUUAAACGACAGCACAAAGAAGAAGAGGAGGAGAGGGGAAAGGUAUAAUGGGACUUCAAACAAGUGCGAGGGAGAGCGGCAGCGUCUUAGGAGCGUCAUAACCUCUGUUUCCACCUGGUGGGGCGGAAAGAGGAGAUGUGAGGGAGACAGAGGGGGAGAAGGAGACAGGGAAAUAGAGCGGGAGAGAGAGACAGGUGGAAAGAGGAGAAGAAAGGCAGGGGGGAAGAGGAGGAGGAGGGGUGGGACUCUGUGCCUGCUGGGGGAGUGUGACUCGGAGUCUGUGCCCUGCUCUGACAGACAGAGGCCUCACAGGAGUCACAGUAGAGACCAACAUCACUACAACUAUAACUCUGCCUCCCCGUUCAAACCAGCACCAAGAGUCACAGAGAGGACAGAGUACUACAGCACAGAGUCUCAGCUGUAUAGAGAGAUAGAGAGAGAGAGAUAUGGAGAGGUGGAGAGAGGAGAAAGGCAGGGAUGGCCUUUCUACUGGAGUUCAGACUCCUCUCUGUGUUCUACUUCCGGGUCGCCCUGGGAAAAGGCUCACAACCUCCCAGUGGCAUAUGGUGGUCUCCACGGUUGCAGCGGGGGCUACCCAGUCUACAGUCGCCAUGCCAACAUCCAUGGUAGCAAUAUUUCCUGUAGCCCAGUGAGGAAGAGUAAAUCCAUCCACAGAAACAGGAAAUACAUGAGUAGGAAGUGGUCAGAGAGUGAGGAGUGGGAAACAACAGAGAGUGGAAGGAGGCAGAGCUGGGAUGGAGGGAGUAGAGGCUGUCGGGAAAGUGGUAGGGAGAGAGGGAACAGAGAUUGGGGGAGUAGGAGGCAGGGUUGCGUAAGCAGGUUAUCCAGCCCUGGAGGAGUCAGUGGAGGAGGCUGGCAGGGGUAUCUCUCGACCCCCAGUCACAGAACUCUGGAGGGUUUCAGGGGAUGGAGGUCUAGUCCUGGGGAGGGAGAAGUCUGGAACAGAGGACCAGUAGACUCAAGCCCAGACAGAUGUACCUGGGGCAGCAGUGACAGUUGGGAGGACAGGGGGACAUACUGCAGGGAGAACAGAUACAGCUGGGAUGACAACUGGGAGAGACAGAGGUCCACUGAAGUUAGAGAGAGCUGGAGCAGGUGGGAGAAGGGAUCACGACCUAGCCCCAGCCGAAGACCUGAUAGUUUUAGCUGGGACUGGGCAACCAGAUGCCCUGACCAUAGACACAGCCGCAGUCCUGGUUCCCAGUCUGUUCCCAGUGUGCAGGUUACCAGAUGCCCCAUCUCCAGCCCCUGGCCUGAUUCUAGCCCUGACUGGCUGCCCCGACAGCCCAGCCCUGGCUUCUGUAGCAGCAGCACCAGUGUGUCAGACCUGAGUGGGGGAUGGAGUAGCUUUAGUACUCACUCAAGACUCAACCUGACUGGGAGAAAAACAACAGGGGUGCCCAGGCGAGCACCAUGUCCCUCACCCACCAAGGAGAAACACCAAGCCCCCAGCCUCAAACCUACUCCUCCUCGACCUCUGCCCAGCACUGAUACCACCCAUCCACAAGACAGGAGCCCCAACCCCACAGCACAGCCUACAUGUCUCUCAGACAGAGAGCCCAAAGCCCCCUCAAAGCCCAGAGACGGGAACCCCAGCAGAACUAUGCUACUGCCACUUAUCGGGAAACUACCAGCAAUUAGGAGAGGAACUAGGAGACGAGGGGCAGAAAGAGAGAGGGAGGGCCCUGACCAAACAGAGAAACAUGACCACAACCAAGACCAGGUCCAGACACAGGACAAGGACCACAACCAAGGGAAGGAGAGUAUGAAGAAUGGAGCGGUCCAAAGUGGUCGACUGUGCACUCAACCCCUCUUGUCUCCGAGCCCUGAGAAAACUGGAGAGGACACGUCCUGUCCUUCCCUGACAUCACAUCCUGCUGUGACCUCAUAUCCUGCCCUAACCUUACCUCACAGGGGUCAGUGGUCACAUGGCCCCUCCCCUCCUCUGGCUCAACAGCCAAUCAGCUUCAGCGCUGAAGAGAUGGGCAAGUAUCGCUGUCUGCAGGAGCAGGCACGAGAGCACAUGCAGAGACUGCUACAGGGGACAGAGACACACACACACCAUACCCCCUCUCCAGAGCCACACACACCCCCCACACUCACUCAUACACAUGUGGCACAGACUCAAGAGAAAAACACACACUCCACUUUCCUAAAUACUUCUCUAAAGCUAGACGCACAUCCCGUACAAACACAGCUCUUACACACACACUCUAACCCCAGGCUCCCCCCUCCUCAUCCUCCUGUCCCCAUACCGCAGCCUCUAAUGACCCACCCUCCUCCACCCACACAACAUCAUUACAUUCUACAACACACAGCAUUCAGUAUGGCACUCUCGUCACCCUCCUCUACCUCUUCCUCUCUCGCCCCCCACACCUCACCCCCUCAUCACCUGCCCCUCCUACACCUCCCUCUCCCCCAUCCCCACCUCCCUCCAUUCUCCAUCUCCUCUAUCUUUCCCUCCAUUCUACUCUCCCAUCCUCCUCUACAUCUCCUCCCUCCCUCCCCUGCCUUCCACCCCUCUCCCCUCACCGCUCUCCCCCCCCUCACACUGCCACCACCGAGACCGCCGUAUCCAGAAAGACUUUGGUCAUUGAGGUUUCAACAGAAAGCAUUAUGA
rnacentral:lncRNA from 1 species